ensembl:lncRNA
GUUUUGUUUUCUUUCUUUUCAUUUCCCCCUCCCUUUCCCCUUUCCCCGCUCUGCCCAGCGGGAUGCAGCCAAUGGCCCCAAUGGACAGACAACGGAUGGACAACGGGACGCGGCUGCUUGGUUCCAUGAGCAACACGAGUUUUGGAAGAGCGUGCCCUCCACGCCGCGGUGUUUUGCAUUAAAAGGUCCGGGGUACGGAUAGUGUUGCAGCAGCAUCUUCAAAGUCUCAUGGCUUUCAAACACAGCCGUGCACACAUGAGCCCCUCCCUCGCGGCCGUCCCUGUCUCGCAUUACGCUGGCAUUUUCUUUGGGGAUGAACAGGGGAGAGACUCCGGCGUAGUUUAUUUUCCUUCCGAGCAGGGUAAGAUGUUUCUCGUUAUGCCUUUUUAAUUCUCUCAAAGGCUGCAUGGCAUGGAGAAGAAUAGUGGCUGUCUUCUUGCCGUGAUGCAAAACUCCCUCGCAGUGCAGCCCACCCUUCCCAGCAGUGAGCUGCUGCUGGCGGAGCAGCGGGGCAGGGGGAAGCCGGGUGGUUUUCCAAAGGGAAGUUAUUUAGGAGAAGGGUUUCGUUGUACCAGAGGAAGUUUGCUGGGGAAAAGAAGAGCAGGAACAGCAAGUGGGGCUGCAGGGUUGCGUUUCGGAAAGGCUCCUACAUCGGAUUUUUAGGUUAGAGGUAUGAGGAGGGGAGAUAAAACAGGAAACAAUCCAGAAAGUGAGGAAGGAAAACGGGGAGAGCGCUCAGGAAAAGUGUCACGGUGUCAAUUUCUAACCAGGAGGCACUGAGCAAAGACUUUUGAAAGUUGAGAUUAUUAAUGAAUUUAUAGGAAAUAUCACCAGUUUGCUGGGGAGGAUGGCUGAAUCCCUGCUUAUUCCAUCUAUCAAGGAGAUGAAAUCUUUCUGUUUUCGCAUGCAGGAGGAGAGAACGCGCAAAAUGCUCCUAAUGGAGCAAAGCGAGCAAGAGGAGCCCAAAGGCGCGGGUGUGCGGCCUCAUGGGGACACUGCUGGGGGUUGGGAUUCUCCUUGCUAUGAGGGGCCCAAAGCCUUUGAGGGCCGAAGGUGCGGACGGCGGAGGAGAAAGAAGGAGAAAGAAGAAGGAGAAGGAGAAGGAGGAGGAGGAGGAGGAGGAUGAGGCCGAGGAGAGCGGCGUGACCGAGCGGCGG